GAUGAACGCUGGCGGCGUGCCUAAUACAUGCAAGUCGAGCGAACAGACGAGGAGCUUGCUCCUCUGACGUUAGCGGCGGACGGGUGAGUAACACGUGGAUAACCUACCUAUAAGACUGGGAUAACUUCGGGAAACCGGAGCUAAUACCGGAUAAUAUAUUGAACCGCAUGGUUCAAUAGUGAAAGACGGUUUUGCUGUCACUUAUAGAUGGAUCCGCGCCGCAUUAGCUAGUUGGUAAGGUAACGGCUUACCAAGGCAACGAUGCGUAGCCGACCUGAGAGGGUGAUCGGCCACACUGGAACUGAGACACGGUCCAGACUCCUACGGGAGGAAGCAGUAGGAAAUCUUCCGCAAUGGGCGAAAGCCUGACGGAGCAACGCCGCGUGAGGGAUGAAGGACUUCGGAUCGUAAAACUCUGUUAGUAGGAAAGAACAAAUGUGUAAGUAACUAUGCACGUCUUGACGGUACCUAAUCAGAAAGCCACGGCUAACUACGUG
rnacentral:rRNA from 1 species